GGGCGCGUAGCUCAGUUGGUUAGAGUGCCACGUUGACAUCGUGGAGGUCACAGGUUCGAGUCCUGUCGCGCCCA
rnacentral:tRNA from 2 species